rnacentral:rRNA from 1 species
CGCUGCCUACCUGCNGUCGAACGAGACGGAUAUAAGUUUACUUAUAUUGUCAGCUAAGCGGCGUACGGGUGAGUAAUAUAUAGUUAAUCUGCCCCAAAGAAGAGAAUAAUUGUUGGAAACGACUUGUAAUGCUCUAUAUGCCUUUAUUACAUAAGUAAGCAAGGGAAACAUUUAUGGCUUUGGGAUGAGACUGUACGGUAUCAGCUAGUUGGUGAGGUAAUGGCUCACCAAGGCUAUGACAUCUAACUGGUUUGAGAGGAUGAUCAGUCACACUGGAACUGAGACACGGUCCAGACUCCUACGGGAGGCAGCAGUGGGGAAUAUUGCACAAUGGAGGAAACUCUGAUGCAGCAACGCCGCGUGGAGGAUGACACAUUUCGGUGCGUAAACUCCUUUUAUAUAAGAAGAUAAUGACGGUAUUAUAUGAAUAAGCACCGGCUAACUCCGUGCCAGCAGCCGCGGUAAUACGGGGGGUGCAAGCGUUACUCGGAAUCACUGGGCGUAAAGAGAAUGUAGGCUGGUUAUUAAGUUGGAAGUGAAAUCCUAUGGCUCAACCAUAGAACUGCUUCCAAAAC